rnacentral:sRNA from 1 species
ACACACCGCCCGUCGCUACUACCGAUUGAAUGGCUCAGUGAGGCGUUCGGACUGGCUCGGGGAGGUUGGCAACGACCACCCCAAGCCGGAAAGUUCGUCAAACUCGGUCAUUUAGAGGAAGUAAAAGUCGUAACAAGGUCUCCGUAGGUGAACCUGCGGAGGGAUCAUUACACAACAAAAAUAUGAGGGUGUGGUUUGCUGGCAACAGCGUCCGCCCCAAGUAUUUUUCACCCAUGUCUUUUGCGCACUUUUUGUUUCCUGGGCGAGUUCGCUCGCCACCAGGACCCAACCAUAAACCUUUUUUUAUGCAGUUGCAAUCAGCGUCAGUAUAAUAAUUCAAUUUAUUAAAACUUUCAACAACGGAUCUCUUGGUUCUGGCAUCGAUGAAGAACGCAGCGAAAUGCGAUACGUAGUGUGAAUUGCAGAAUUCAGUGAAUCAUCGAAUCUUUGAACGCACAUUGCGCCCUUUGGUAUUCCAAAGGGCAUGCCUGUUCGAGCGUCAUUUGUACCCUCAAGCUUUGCUUGGUGUUGGGCGUCUUUUUGUCUCUCCCCUUGUUGGGGGAGACUCGCCUUAAAACGAUUGGCAGCCGACCUACUGGUUUUCGGAGCGCAGCACAAAUUUGCGCCUUCCAAUCCACGGGGCGGCAUCCAGCAAGCCUUUGUUUUCUAUAACAAAUCCACAUUUUGACCUCGGAUCAGGUAGGGAUACCCGCUGAACUUAAGCAUAUCAAUAAGCGGAGGAAAAGAAACCAACAGGGAUUGCCCUAGUAACGGCGAGUGAAGCGGCAACAGCUCAAAUUUGAAAUCUGGC